ensembl:antisense Gm16365 predicted gene 16365
GUACUUUGAUUUCUUGAUGGCUGACUAUGAGUACUGAAAACUCCAACCCGGCAGCGUGUAGUGCUGUGUGCCUCUCCUUAUAGAGUUAAACUCAGCCAGGCCUGCCCGAGAGAAACCCUAAACUGGCGCCACAUUCCUGCUGGAACUCUGUCACAGUCUCAGCUCAAACUGGCCUCCAGAUGGACAAGGUGAAGAGACAGAGGUCAUACCCAUGAGGAAGAGGCUCUUGGCAGACAUGGAAUCUACUGUCACCUUAUUCUUGGAUUCUUAAGCCUCGUAAACACUGGAGCUGCCUAAUGCUGACAUUCUCAGGCUGCAGAGCAGAAGGCAUCAUGGGAAGCUGAAGCAGGCAUCACUCAGUGUGCUCCC